UUCCCAAAUGGAAUGUUACGCAGACCUCUUGUCCUCCCUCCUGCUUGUUGUGGCAGACAGUUAUACUUGUAAUCUCCCAGAACAUUUGAAUUAGAGAUGUGAGUCCCGAUGCCAACUGUCUACAGGUUGAAAUUAUAAAGAGGCUUAGGCACAUCAUGUUGAAGGGAGCAAUUUGGGAAGGAUAAAGCUGUUGAUGAAUGGCCGAAAAAGGACAAGUUAAGGGGAAAAAUUGGAACCAAAGAGUCCGGAUUGUGAGUUCCUUGAAAGAAGAAUCUGUGUCUUGUUCACCAUUGUUUCUCCUUACCUGUAACAGAAACCCUGGCCCCAGCAUUGCAUGUUACUUCCAUGAAGCUGAUCUAUGAAAGCAAAAUGUUAACAUCUUAUGGCAGGAUACAGCACUGGGAAUAAAGAGCAAGCAUCAGUGAAUGAACUCAGGAGCCACAAACAAAUUACCAGAGACGUGUACCUUCCUGAGAGGCAGAGAAUUAUAGAGGCAAUGUUGCAUGAUGGGAUAUACUCAAUGAUAUAGUAUGAAGAAUAAUUAUGACGGAAUCGCCCAUUGAAAAGUGACACAGAUGCCCAUGCUGUCUUGGGAAGGAAGAGAAAGUGGGGAAAAAAAUGAUUUCUUACUACAUGAAUUGCUUUACAAA